rnacentral:rRNA from 1 species
UAGUGGCGGACGGGUGAGUAACGCGUGAGCAACCUACCUUUCAGAGGGGGGUAACGUCUGGAAACGGACGCUAAUACCGCAUGACAUUUCAGAGCCGCAUGGUUUUGAGAUCAAAGGAGCAAUCCGCUGAGAGAUGGGCUCGCGUCCGAUUAGCCAGUUGGUGAGGUAACGGCCCACCAAAGCAACGAUCGGUAGCCGGACUGAGAGGUUGAACGGCCACAUUGGGACUGAGACACGGCCCAGACUCCUACGGGAGGCAGCAGUGGGGGAUAUUGCACAAUGGAGGAAACUCUGAUGCAGCAACGCCGCGUGAGGGAAGAAGGUCUUCGGAUWGUAAACCUUUGUCCUUGGUGACGAUAAUGACGGUAGCCAAGGAGGAAGCUCCGGCUAACUACGUGCCAGCAGCCGCGGUAAUACGUAGGGAGCGAGCGUUGUCCGGAUUUACUGGGUGUAAAGGGUGCGUAGGCGGCUCUGCAAGUCAGGUGUGAAAACCAUCGGCUUAACUGAUGGACUGCAUUUGAAACUGUGGAGCUUGAGUGGAGUAGAGGCAGACGGAAUUCCCGGUGUAGCGGUGAAAUGCGUAGAGAUCGGGAGGAACACCAGUGGCGAAGGCGGUCUGCUGGGCUUUAACUGACGCUGAGGCACGAAAGCAUGGGUAGCRAACAGGAUUAGAUACCCUGGUAGUCCAUGCCGUAACCGUUUUUACUAGGUGUGGGGGGUCUGACCCCCUCCGUGCCGGAGUUAACACAAUAAGUAAUCCACCUG